GGCUGCCAAUUUCCUUCUACGUGCUGCCUAUUUUUCUGGCAGGUUCUGUGGACUCUGGUUUCUGUAUUUCCCCCUCCUUCCUUGGUCAUGUCGCUUACCAACCUGGUGUUUUGUUUGCAACUGCCACUUGGACUGGCCUGAACAUUUGUUCUUUCCUCCCCCACCCUGGGUUUUGUGCCACUCAGUGUUUGCUGGGACCAGGGUUUCUUGGAAUAAGAGUUGUGGCCACUACCUGCGACCAAGCCCUGGCGAAGCGCUAGCCCCGGUCUCAGUUGCCCAUGGAUCCUCUCUCCUUGCACAGCUCAGCCUGCACCAGCUGCCACUGUGAAACCAACCUGCUCCUGAGGCUUUGGAAGAUGUGGCCCAAUCUUCAGGCAUGGCCCAGAUGUCAUCUUUACCGGAGACUCAGGGAAUUUAUGUGUCUCUGGAACAUCCUAAAUGUCAAGAUCCUCGGGGUGUUCUAACCACCUUACUGCAGAGGAAACCCUAUGGCUAUAGGAGGCCGACACCUGUGCAGCCUUGUAAUCCUGGGGCUGACUAAAUCUGGAAUAAAUAGCACCAAAGACAUACCAA